GAAAAAGAUGUACUGAAGAGCCGCUCUUAGCGAGGCCUUCAGUCCUAACGGCAAACGGGUGAGUAACGCGUGGGAACGUGCCCCUUUCUUCGGAAUAGCCUCGGGAAACUGGGAGUAAUGCCGAAUACGCCGGGUCAUCGAGAGAUGGUUCGGGAAAGAUUUAUCGGAGAGGGAUCGGCCCGCGUUGGAUUAGGUAGUUGGUGGGGUAAUGGCCUACCAAGCCGACGAUCCAUAGCUGGUUUGAGAGGAUGAUCAGCCACACUGGGACUGAGACACGGCCCAGACUCCUACGGGAGGCAGCAGUGGGGAAUCUUGGACAAUGGGGGCAACCCUGAUCCAGCCAUGCCGCGUGAGCGAUGAAGGCCUUAGGGUUGUAAAGCUCUUUCAGCGGGGAAGAUAAUGACGGUACCCGCAGAAGAAGCCCCGGCUAACUCCGUGCCAGCAGCCGCGGUAAUACGGAGGGGGCUAGCGUUGUUCGGAAUUACUGGGCGUAAAGCGCACGUAGGCGGAUCAGUCAGUUAGGGGUGAAAUCCCAGGGCUCAACCCUGGAACUGCCUUUAAUACUGCUGGUCUGGAGGUCGAGAGAGGUGAGUGGAAUUCCGAGUGUAGAGGUGAAAUUCGUAGAUAUUCGGAGGAACACCAGUGGCGAA
rnacentral:rRNA from 1 species